rnacentral:rRNA from 1 species
AGGACGAACGCUGGCGGCGUGCCUCAUACAUGCAAGUGGAGCGACGAACCAGGAUUUAUCCUGGGGCAAAGCCGCGAACGGGUGAGUAACACGUGGGUUACCUGCCCCGAUGAUUGGGACAACCCGAGGAAACUCGGGCUAAUACCAAAUGUGUUCUUGGUCGUGAUGACCAAGAAGAAAGGAAGCCUCGGCCUCCGCAUCGGGAUGGGCCCGCGGCCCAUUAGCUAGUUGGUGAGGUAACGGCUCACCAAGGCGACGAUCGAUAGCUGGUCUGAGAGGAUGAUCAGCCACAUUGGGACUGAGACACGGCCCAAACUCCUACGGGAGGCAGCAGUGGGGAAUAUUGGACAAUGGGCGCAAGCCUGAUCCAGCCAUGCCGCGUGAGUGAUGACGGCCUUAGGGUUGUAAAGCUCUUUCGCUAGGGACGAUAAUGACGGUACCUAGACAAGAACGCCCCGGCUAACUUCGUGCCAGCAGCCGC